UGGAGAGAGCAGAAACUCGUUGUUCAUCAGGUUCCUCAUCCCUACAGCCCUCACCGGUCCGAGACGCCGGGCCACCGGCACCAGCACCGGAUCUGUGUGGCGGGACCAGGCCGCGUCAUGUGACCAGGCCGCGUCACGUGACCAGGCCGCGUCAUGUGACCAGGCCGCGUCAUGUGACCAGGCCGCGUCAUGUGACCAGCGUGUUGAUUGGCUCCUGUUCAGGACGCGCUCAUUUAGAGCAGAUAAGGUUCUGAUAGCAACACUGUUCUGGUUACGGGUUUUUUUUUUCUCCCCUACAGAUAAACAUGUUUGAAACCUUUUUAAUUUAAACCUAAGGCCAACAUGAAGAACGAAAACGAACGUCAGUUAAAUUAGGUAAAGCGAAUGUUUCUCCAUGGUUGCCAUGGUUACUGAUCACGGGUCAGAAAACCUUUAUUACACCGACUCCUACGACACAGCGGCCAGUAGCCAAAAA